rnacentral:rRNA from 1 species
UACGGGGGGGGCAAGCGUUGUUCGGAAUUACUGGGCGUAAAGGGUUUGUAGGUGGCUUGCUAAGUCAGACGUGAAAUCCCUCAGCUUAACUGGGGAACUGCGUCUGAGACUGGCAAGCUCGAGUGCAGGAGAGGAACGCGGAAUCCCAGGUGUAGCGGUGAAAUGCGUAGAUAUCUAUCGGAAUGCCGAAAGUGAAGACAGCCCGCUGGGGCUUUCCUGACGCUGAGGCACGAAAGCGUGGGGAGCAAACGGG